rnacentral:rRNA from 7 species
GGGUUGUGAGGUUAAGCGACUAAGCGUACACGGUGGAUGCCCUGGCAGUCAGAGGCGAUGAAGGGCGUGCUAAUCUGCGAUAAGCGCCGGUAAGGUGAUAUGAACCGUUAUAACCGGCGAUACCCGAAUGGGGAAACCCAGUGUGAUUCGUCACACUAUCAUUAACUGAAUCCAUAGGUUAAUGAGGCGAACCGGGGGAACUGAAACAUCUAAGUACCCCGAGGAAAAGAAAUCAACCGAGAUUCCCCCAGUAGCGGCGAGCGAACGGGGAGGAGCCCAGAGCCUGAAUCAGCAUGUGUGUUAGUGGAAGCGUCUGGAAAGGCGCGCGAUACAGGGUGACAGCCCCGUACACAAAAGCGCAUGUGCUGUGAGCUCGAUGAGUAGGGCGGGACACGUGGUAUCCUGUCUGAAUAUGGGGGGACCAUCCUCCAAGGCUAAAUACUCCUGACUGACCGAUAGUGAACCAGUACCGUGAGGGAAAGGCGAAAAGAACCCCGGCGAGGGGAGUGAAAAAGAACCUGAAACCGUGUACGUACAAGCAGUGGGAGCACCCUUCGGGGUGUGACUGCGUACCUUUUGUAUAAUGGGUCAGCGACUUAUAUUCUGUAGCAAGGUUAACCGUAUAGGGGAGCCGGAGGGAAACCGAGUCUUAAUUGGGCGUUAAGUUGCAGGGUAUAGACCCGAAACCCGGUGAUCUAGCCAUGGGCAGGUUGAAGGUUGGGUAACACUAACUGGAGGACCGAACCGACUAAUGUUGAAAAAUUAGCGGAUGACCUGUGGCUGGGGGUGAAAGGCCAAUCAAACCGGGAGAUAGCUGGUUCUCCCCGAAAGCUAUUUAGGUAGCGCCUCGUGAAUUCAUCUCCGGGGGUAGAGCACUGUUUCGGCUAGGGGGCCAUCCCGGCUUACCAACCCGAUGCAAACUGCGAAUACCGGAGAAUGUUAUCACGGGAGACACACGGCGGGUGCUAACGUCCGUCGUGAAGAGGGAAACAACCCAGACCGCCAGCUAAGGUCCCAAAGUCAUGGUUAAGUGGGAAACGAUGUGGGAAGGCCCAGACAGCCAGGAUGUUGGCUUAGAAGCAGCCAUCAUUUAAAGAAAGCGUAAUAGCUCACUGGUCGAGUCGGCCUGCGCGGAAGAUGUAACGGGGCUAAACCAUGCACCGAAGCUGCGGCAGCGAACGUAUCACCCAAGACAACUUUACGGAGUUGACGAUUGACGGAGCGAAGCGACGUCAAAGCGUUCAUUAAAGUCGAGUUGGCUUAGGGAUACGUUCGUUGGGUAGGGGAGCGUUCUGUAAGCCUGUGAAGGUGUGUCGUGAGGCAUGCUGGAGGUAUCAGAAGUGCGAAUGCUGACAUAAGUAACGAUAAAGCGGGUGAAAAGCCCGCUCGCCGGAAGACCAAGGGUUCCUGUCCAACGUUAAUCGGGGCAGGGUGAGUCGACCCCUAAGGCGAGGCCGAAAGGCGUAGUCGAUGGGAAACGGGUUAAUAUUCCCGUACUUGGUGUUACUGCGAAGGGGGGACGGAGAAGGCUAUGUUGGCCGGGCGACGGUUGUCCCGGUUUAAGCGUGUAGGUGUGUGUUCCAGGUAAAUCCGGUUCACUUUAACACUGAGGCGUGACGACGAGGCACUACGGUGCUGAAGCAACAAAUGCCCUGCUUCCAGGAAAAGCCUCUAAGCAUCAGGUAACAUCAAAUCGUACCCCAAACCGACACAGGUGGUCAGGUAGAGAAUACCAAGGCGCUUGAGAGAACUCGGGUGAAGGAACUAGGCAAAAUGGUGCCGUAACUUCGGGAGAAGGCACGCUGACACGUAGGUGAAGUGAUUUACUCAUGGAGCUGAAGUCAGUCGAAGAUACCAGCUGGCUGCAACUGUUUAUUAAAAACACAGCACUGUGCAAACACGAAAGUGGACGUAUACGGUGUGACGCCUGCCCGGUGCCGGAAGGUUAAUUGAUGGGGUCAGCGCAAGCGAAGCUCCUGAUCGAAGCCCCGGUAAACGGCGGCCGUAACUAUAACGGUCCUAAGGUAGCGAAAUUCCUUGUCGGGUAAGUUCCGACCUGCACGAAUGGCGUAAUGAUGGCCAGGCUGUCUCCACCCGAGACUCAGUGAAAUUGAACUCGCUGUGAAGAUGCAGUGUACCCGCGGCAAGACGGAAAGACCCCGUGAACCUUUACUAUAGCUUGACACUGAACAUUGAGCCUUGAUGUGUAGGAUAGGUGGGAGGCUUUGAAGUGUGGACGCCAGUCUGCAUGGAGCCGACCUUGAAAUACCACCCUUUAAUGUUUGAUGUUCUAACGUGGACCCGUAAUCCGGGUUGCGGACAGUGUCUGGUGGGUAGUUUGACUGGGGCGGUCUCCUCCUAAAGAGUAACGGAGGAGCACGAAGGUUGGCUAAUCCUGGUCGGACAUCAGGAGGUUAGUGCAAUGGCAUAAGCCAGCUUGACUGCGAGCGUGACGGCGCGAGCAGGUGCGAAAGCAGGUCAUAGUGAUCCGGUGGUUCUGAAUGGAAGGGCCAUCGCUCAACGGAUAAAAGGUACUCCGGGGAUAACAGGCUGAUACCGCCCAAGAGUUCAUAUCGACGGCGGUGUUUGGCACCUCGAUGUCGGCUCAUCACAUCCUGGGGCUGAAGUAGGUCCCAAGGGUAUGGCUGUUCGCCAUUUAAAGUGGUACGCGAGCUGGGUUUAGAACGUCGUGAGACAGUUCGGUCCCUAUCUGCCGUGGGCGCUGGAGAACUGAGGGGGGCUGCUCCUAGUACGAGAGGACCGGAGUGGACGCAUCACUGGUGUUCGGGUUGUCAUGCCAAUGGCACUGCCCGGUAGCUAAAUGCGGAAGAGAUAAGUGCUGAAAGCAUCUAAGCACGAAACUUGCCCCGAGAUGAGUUCUCCCUGAGACUUAGAGUCUCCUGAAGGAACGUUGAAGACGACGACGUUGAUAGGCCGGGUGUGUAAGCGCAGCGAUGCGUUGAGCUAACCGGUACUAAUGAACCGUGAGGCUUAACCUUACAACGCCGAAG